GGGUUGUGAGGUUAAGCGACUAAGCGUACACGGUGGAUGCCCUGGCAGUCAGAGGCGAUGAAGGACGUGCUAAUCUGCGAUAAGCGUCGGUAAGGUGAUAUGAACCGUUAUAACCGGCGAUUUCCGAAUGGGGAAACCCAGUGUGUUUCGACACACUAUCAUUAACUGAAUCCAUAGGUUAAUGAGGCGAACCGGGGGAACUGAAACAUCUAAGUACCCCGAGGAAAAGAAAUCAACCGAGAUUCCCCCAGUAGCGGCGAGCGAACGGGGAGCAGCCCAGAGCCUGAAUCAGUGUGUGUGUUAGUGGAAGCGUCUGGAAAGGCGCGCGAUACAGGGUGACAGCCCCGUACACAAAAAUGCACAUGCUGUGAGCUCGAUGAGUAGGGCGGGACACGUGGUAUCCUGUCUGAAUAUGGGGGGACCAUCCUCCAAGGCUAAAUACUCCUGACUGACCGAUAGUGAACCAGUACCGUGAGGGAAAGGCGAAAAGAACCCCGGCGAGGGGAGUGAAAAAGAACCUGAAACCGUGUACGUACAAGCAGUGGGAGCACGCUUCGGCGUGUGACUGCGUACCUUUUGUAUAAUGGGUCAGCGACUUAUAUUCUGUAGCAAGGUUAACCGAAUAGGGGAGCCGAAGGGAAACCGAGUCUUAACUGGGCGUUAAGUUGCAGGGUAUAGACCCGAAACCCGGUGAUCUAGCCAUGGGCAGGUUGAAGGUUGGGUAACACUAACUGGAGGACCGAACCGACUAAUGUUGAAAAAUUAGCGGAUGACUUGUGGCUGGGGGUGAAAGGCCAAUCAAACCGGGAGAUAGCUGGUUCUCCCCGAAAGCUAUUUAGGUAGCGCCUCGUGAAUUCAUCUCCGGGGGUAGAGCACUGUUUCGGCAAGGGGGUCAUCCCGACUUACCAACCCGAUGCAAACUGCGAAUACCGGAGAAUGUUAUCACGGGAGACACACGGCGGGUGCUAACGUCCGUCGUGAAGAGGGAAACAACCCAGACCGCCAGCUAAGGUCCCAAAGUCAUGGUUAAGUGGGAAACGAUGUGGGAAGGCCCAGACAGCCAGGAUGUUGGCUUAGAAGCAGCCAUCAUUUAAAGAAAGCGUAAUAGCUCACUGGUCGAGUCGGCCUGCGCGGAAGAUGUAACGGGGCUAAACCAUGCACCGAAGCUGCGGCAGCGACGCUUAUGCGUUGUUGGGUAGGGGAGCGUUCUGUAAGCCUGUGAAGGUGUGCUGUGAGGCAUGCUGGAGGUAUCAGAAGUGCGAAUGCUGACAUAAGUAACGAUAAAGCGGGUGAAAAGCCCGCUCGCCGGAAGACCAAGGGUUCCUGUCCAACGUUAAUCGGGGCAGGGUGAGUCGACCCCUAAGGCGAGGCCGAAAGGCGUAGUCGAUGGGAAACAGGUUAAUAUUCCUGUACUUGGUGUUACUGCGAAGGGGGGACGGAGAAGGCUAUGUUGGCCGGGCGACGGUUGUCCCGGUUUAAGCGUGUAGGCUGGUUUUCCAGGCAAAUCCGGAAAAUCAAGGCUGAGGCGUGAUGACGAGGCACUACGGUGCUGAAGCAACAAAUGCCCUGCUUCCAGGAAAAGCCUCUAAGCAUCAGGUAACAUCAAAUCGUACCCCAAACCGACACAGGUGGUCAGGUAGAGAAUACCAAGGCGCUUGAGAGAACUCGGGUGAAGGAACUAGGCAAAAUGGUGCCGUAACUUCGGGAGAAGGCACGCUGAUAUGUAGGUGAAGCGACUUGCUCGUGGAGCUGAAAUCAGUCGAAGAUACCAGCUGGCUGCAACUGUUUAUUAAAAACACAGCACUGUGCAAACACGAAAGUGGACGUAUACGGUGUGACGCCUGCCCGGUGCCGGAAGGUUAAUUGAUGGGGUUAGCGGUAACGCGAAGCUCUUGAUCGAAGCCCCGGUAAACGGCGGCCGUAACUAUAACGGUCCUAAGGUAGCGAAAUUCCUUGUCGGGUAAGUUCCGACCUGCACGAAUGGCGUAAUGAUGGCCAGGCUGUCUCCACCCGAGACUCAGUGAAAUUGAACUCGCUGUGAAGAUGCAGUGUACCCGCGGCAAGACGGAAAGACCCCGUGAACCUUUACUAUAGCUUGACACUGAACAUUGAGCCUUGAUGUGUAGGAUAGGUGGGAGGCUUUGAAGUGUGGACGCCAGUCUGCAUGGAGCCGACCUUGAAAUACCACCCUUUAAUGUUUGAUGUUCUAACGUUGACCC
rnacentral:rRNA from 1 species